UCUCUGGUUGUAUAUCGGUUAGUACACGCGCCUGUCAUGCGAAUCGUCCUCAUCUGUUUAAACCAUUGCGCGCGAAAGCUGGGUUCGACUCCCAGCCAGAGAG